rnacentral:rRNA from 1 species
AUUGCAGGCUGCAACUCGCCUGCAUGAAGCUGGAAUUGCUAGUAAUCGCGGAUCAGCAUGCCGCGGUGAAUACGUUCCCGGGCCUUGUACACACCGCCCGUCACACCAUGAGAGUCGGGAACACCCGAAGUCCGUAGUCUAACCGCAAGGAGGGCGCGGCCGAAGGUGGGUCCGGUAAUUGGGGUGAAGUCGUAACAAGGUACC